CCUCCCCUUCCCCCGGAUGCGGCCGGGCCGCGGGCCGGGAUGGCGCUGCCCACACCGCGCUACGGGCCCCUGGGCCCGCGGGGGCCGUUCCGGGACGUGUACGAGCCGGCCGAGGACACCUUCCUGCUGCUCGAUGCGCUGGAGCGGGACGCGGGCAGGCUGCGGGAGGCUGGAGUGGAGAUCUGUCUUGAAAUAGGAUCUGGAUCUGGUGUGGUUUCAACAUUUCUGGCUUCUUCCAUCCUCGGCCCCAGUGCACUGUACAUAUGCACAGAUAUCAACCCCAUGGCAGCUUACUGUACCCAGGAGACAGCUCUGCUUAACAAUGUUCACCUGCAGCCUGUCAUUACUGACUUGGUCAAAGGAUUAUCCCCAAGAUUAAAUGGGAAUGUUGAUCUACUGCUGUUUAACCCACCAUAUGUGGUAACACCUUCUGAAGAGGUGAAAAGCCAUGGAAUAGAGGCAUCCUGGGCUGGGGGCAAACAGGGCAGAGAAGUAAUGGAUAGAGUUUUCCCAUUAGUACCAGACCUGCUUUCACCAGGAGGAUUAUUCUACUUGGUCACUAUUAAGGAAAAUAAUCCAGGUGGUCACUGUCCUUGGACAUUCAAAUAUGCCAAACCAGGUUUAACAUGAUGAAAUUCUGGAAACAAUGAAGAAAAGUGGCUUAAAAGGCACACAAGUACUUUCCAGGCAAGCAGGACAAGAGAUGCUGACAAUCCUCAGAUUUAAGAAGUCUUGAUAACUUCUCUUCACCUGCCAGGAUCAGCAUUCUCAGCACGGAUCACUUUGGCCAUGGUUAAGGACCAGAGUCUUCCAUGUCUCUCUGACCUUCAGAGAAGAAGAAAGAGCCUGGUUAAAAUACACAGAUGCUCAAGAGUUCACCACAAAAGCAUUUGGAGGAAGUUUGGAUCUGUGCAGAGAUGGAAAUACAGUGGCACUUUAUGCAAUGCAAAAUGUGAAGGCAGAGUUGUUUCACUUGUUCUCACAUACCUGUCAAAUAUUUUGCUGCUGUACUACCCAGGGUACUGAACUUCUCUUCCAACAUAAGAAGAUAAUUCAGCAGCAGGCAAGGAGGAUUCUUCAAUUCUUCAAUCCCUUGUAACGAGCACAACAGUUCUGCAACUCAUUGAACACCUUCCCUGAGCUUCAGAGAAGGCUUCUCAAGGAACAGUGGAAAAGUUUGUUUUAAUGAUUGGCUGCAUUUUUCCUGUUUGCAGGAAACCACAGAGUGAGACACAGCAUUCUGAGAAUGGGCUCCAGGAAGUCUGCUGAAAAUUACCUUUUAACACUGCAUGAAGGAGGCUUUAGUGUCUUAAAGGUACAGCAAUGUUCCAGUGUCCCAGCAGCUCCUUGCCUGUCACUGGUGAUCACAGAGCUCAGGAUUUGCUGCUGCACCAGCCAAGGUGGCCCCUGCAGCUUGACUCCUGUAAUUCUCUGUUAAAGGAGCGAUCAGCUCCUUCAUUUUGAUGCAAGUCCUUCACAACAUGAGAUUCUUUGCAUCUCCCCACUUUUCUUUCUGCAAUUUCAGUUUCAGGAGAUGAGCUGAGCCUUGUUAAACCAAACCACGCAUCUUGAGCCAGGUUCUAAAUUGUAGGCUGAGCUUGGGUGCUCUCACAAGGGGGCUCAGUUCAUUCAGUCCAGAGCUGGUUAAAGCUCCACUCGGGGUUUAUUGUCUGUAAAACACUUCCCUAAGUGAAACCAUGGGUAUUGUAGGUGUUGGAUUUGUCUUGGGGUAAUGACAGGCUUCAGAAAUAAGGGAAGGGAGGAAGCAAUUUAAAGCUAAUUAUAGAAGAAAUAAAGUGAGAAGGUGUCAAUUACUGCAGUGAAAUCCAAUGCUGAAUUUGAGCUAUUUUGUACACUGGAGGACAGAUUAAAAAACCACUUGAGGCAAACCAAUACACAAACCCCUCCUAAGAACCUCUUAAGUCCUAAAUACUUCUCUCCAGCUCUGAACAGAACUACUGAACAAUAUCUUCAAUUGAGCUGCAGUAGCUCUCUGUAUUCCAACUCUCAUCCUGCACUUUCUGCUUCUACCUGAGAUGUGCUUUUGGAUAUGAAAGAGGUGGCCUCUACCACCACAUGAGCCACAAAUUCCAAACCCCUUGGAAAAAAGGUGGUGGGAAAAAACAAACAAACAAACAGAACUGCCACAGAUUAUCUCUCCUCCAGCCUGUGCAAAUAACAAAUGUCAGACCUAAUUAUCAAUAUCACUGUGGCCUGACAGCUGUGUGUACUUGAUCCUACUGCAUCCUGGAUAUGGAUUGAAAUGCCUUGAUUCAUUUAAAAAGGUUAAAUGGUACUAUCAGAAUUUAGAAUGGCCCAAUUACUAAACUUUAAAUAUUUGCUUCACCUGGUUUUGCAUCACACAAAUCCUGACUGAUUACGUUGAUUUUGCAAGUGUGUUUCUGCUGUUUCAUACAGGAAUUGUCCACACAAGGAAAUUUUACAAAGGGCAUGUUUAUUUCUAUUCUGCUUUUUCACAACAUAAAGCACUUGAUCUUAAUAUGCUCUGACCUGCAAAUGACUGAAAAUGAGAAAAUAAUGGUUCAUAAAUUCAUCAGUCAAGAGGUUGCCUGAAUUUAUCAUUGAUCCAUCCUGAGAUGUCAAGACAGGUCAGAAUUCAGGAAAAGAAAUGUGUAAAACAAUCAAACCCACACUUGAUGAUAAUUUUUGAUGGGUUGAUGUUAUUUGUUCAAUUUUCAUGAAGUCCCCAAGGGAGAGGGAUCAAACUGUGACCUUUUUGGAUUUUUCCACAUUGCAGAAGCCCUUCCUGAAAACAUCUGAGGCCUUGGAUAGCUGCAGGAUCCUGUACCUACAAAUCAUUUACUGCAGUGUCAAAAUGCACAACAGUCCACCUGGUAUUCACUUGGAGCAGAAGGCAUCAUUAGGGAAUUUCUGUCACCAUGAAGAAACUCAGGAAUUGACAGGAAGCAGAGGUUUUGUAAAAGCAGUCCUUGCACACCAGUCGGUGUCCUUGCACAGAUAAAUCAACCAACUGCUUCAAUAUCUGAUGUUCCCUUAAGCUACAGCAGCAGCUUCUAAAUUUUUCCUGUCCCAGUCCACUUGUUCUGUCUUAUUUUACAUCACUCUGUGAACUACCACAUGUUCUUGAUCCACUUGAUUGGUAAAAUAAGAGAUCAUGCAUAAAUUCUAUAAAAAAGGAAUACCUUUAUUUUUCUUUUUUUAAAGAGACUGUUUUUUCAUUACCAAGUGAAAACUUUACAAUGUAAAGUAUUUCUCUUCAGUAUUGUUUUAAUAUAAAAACUUAAAUCACUUACUCUGGUCUUACUGUUCCUACAGGAAGUCUUGUGGCACUGCAGGACCCCAGGUAUUUUCAGCCUCACUCUAGUAUCUAAUCAUAAGUUCAUGACUGUUAUUUUAAAUAAAACCAUUUCUGUGGCCACUCACCAUCAACAAAACAUUUCUACCACCAAAACAAAAAUAAAGCAUCUUCAUUAGACCAAAAGAGACCAAACUCUAACAGCACUAUUACAGUGAGAAGCUUUGUUAAAAUAAAAAUAUUUU